GGGGAAAUUGGACAAUGGGCGAAAGCCUGAUCCAGCCAUGCCGCGUGUGUGAAGAAGGUCUUCGGAUUGUAAAGCACUUUAAGUUGGGAGGAAGGGCAGUUACCUAAUACGUGAUUGUUUUGACGUUACCGACAGAAUAAGCACCGGCUAACUCUGUGCCAGCAGCCGCGGUAAUA
rnacentral:rRNA from 1 species